UGAAAGUGACCUUUCAUACUCUUUUUCUCUUUUCUCGUAUGUCUCUUUCUCUCUCUUUUUUUUUGUUCUUUCACUUUUUUUUUUCUCCGGUAACAAACCAAGAGAUUUCUAAUUCCAUCAGCUUUAACUCUAACAAAAAAAUAUCAAUCAGUUCUAAAGAUGUUGUCUAGAAGUUGUCUGCUGCAUCUCUAAUGGAUCAAUUCGAUGGACCAGAUCUAGUAUAUCAGAUCCGGUGGACCAUGUCCAGUGAACCAGUUCGUUAGAUCUUUUUCACCCUUGUUUUCUCCUAUAAAAGGAUCUCAAUCAGCUUUGCAGAUUCUCUCUAGAGAUUAUGUGUUCUAUUUCCGAUAAACCAAUUCCGAUGGACCAGAUCUGGUAGACAAUAUCCUGUGAACCAGUUUCGGUGGACCGAACUUGUCUAAUUUUACUAAGUAAUCGUGUCCAUCACGCAGAUCUUUUAAAGCCAUAAGCGAAUGACCAAACGAUGUCACAAGUGAUACGUCAAUGGAAGAUAUCAUCUAAGAUCCAUGUAUAUUUACACUCUUAACCACACAUUUGUCUAUAGAUGGACCAGAUCUCGUGGUCUAGAUUUGGUGGACCAAAUCUCGUGGACUAGAUCUGGUAGACCAAAUCCGAUGUCUGUAAUAUGUCCAUAUUUUGUUUUCUAACUUG
rnacentral:lncRNA from 1 species